UAUUCUGCCCCAUGGGGAAGGAUGAGAAGCUUCGACUAAGGUUCGACUCGAGCGCAGCGAGAGAACGUUGCCGCAGGCAAUGGCCCGAAGGGCGAGGCGCUUUAGCGCCGAGUAAUCCUUCCCCCACCACCA
rnacentral:sRNA from 1 species